UGGGGAAUAUUGCACAAUGGGCGCAAGCCUGAUGCAGCCAUGCCGCGUGUAUGAAGAAGGCCUUCGGGUUGUAAAGUACUUUCAGUCGGGAGGAAGGUGGUAAGGUUAAUAACCUUAUCAAUUGACGUUACCGACAGAAGAAGCACCGGCUAACUCCGUGCCAGCAGCCGCGGUAAUACGGAGGGUGCAAGCGUUAAUCGGAAUUACUGGGCGUAAAGCGCACGCAGGCGGUUUGUUAAGUCAGAUGUGAAAUCCCCGGGCUCAACCUGGGAACUGCAUCUGAUACUGGCAAGCUUGAGUCUCGUAGAGGGGGGUAGAAUUCCAGGUGUAGCGGUGAAAUGCGUAGAGAUCUGGAGGAAUACCGGUGGCGAAGGCGGCCCCCUGGACGAAGACUGACGCUCAGGUGCGAAAGCGUGGGAGCAAACAGG
rnacentral:rRNA from 1 species